CAGAACGAACGCUGGCGGCGCGUCUAAGCAUGCAAGUCGAACGGCAAGAGGUAGCAAUACCUCCUAGAGUGGCGGACUGGUGAGUAACACGUGGGUGACAUACCCUUCAGAUGGGGAUAGCUAUUAGAAAUAGUAGAUAAUACCGAAUACGAGCACAGGGGUUAGAGAUCUGUGAGGAAAGGAGCUAAGGCUCCGCUGAAGGAAUGGCCUGCGGCCCAUUAGCUAGUUGGUGAGGUAAGAGCCCACCAAGGCGAUGAUGGGUAUCCGGCCUUAGAGGGUGAACGGACACAUUGGGACUGAGAUACGGCCCAGACUCCUACGGGAGGCAGCAGCUAAGAAUAUUCCGCAAUGGACGAAAGUCUGACGGAGCGACGCCGCGUGGAUGAAGAAGGCCGGAAGGUUGUAAAAUCCUUUUGAAACUGAAGAAUAAGCGUUGUAGGGAAUGACAGCGUGGUGACAGUAGGUUUUGAAUAAGCAACGGCUAAUUACGUGCCAGCCGCAGC
rnacentral:rRNA from 1 species